UCCCCCCUGGUGUAAUGGCAGCACACGGGUCUUUGGAACCCAUAGUGGAGGUUCGAAUCCUCCGGGGCGCGC
rnacentral:tRNA from 1 species